GAUUAGUAGAUGGUUUGAACGGUUGGAUAUAACCGUGAGGAGGAGGAUAGCAAGGGAAGGAGCUUUUGGACGCCGACAUUGAUCGAUGGACUUUAAGUGUAUGACUGUUGGAGGAAAUGUCGGUCAUCUUUUGGGAGUGUAGCCGAAUAUAGAAGACUACGGCAUUUUGAUGUACCGAUGAACAAUGUCCAUCUGGUUUAAGUAAAUAAAAGGU
rnacentral:lncRNA from 1 species